AUGAACGCUGGCGGCGUGCCUAAUACAUGCAGGUCGAGCGCACAGACGAGGAGCUUGCUCCUCUGACGUUAGCGGCGGACGGGUGAGUAACACGUGGAUAACCUACCUAUAAGACUGGGAUAACUUCGGGAAACCGGAGCUAAUACCGGAUAAUAUAUUGAACCGCAUGGUUCAAUAGUGAAAGACGGUUUUGCUGUCACUUAUAGAUGGAUCCGCGCCGCAUUAGCUAGUUGGUAAGGUAACGGCUUACCAAGGCAACGAUGCGUAGCCGACCUGAGAGGGUGAUCGGCCACACUGGAACUGAGACACGGUCCAGACUCCUACGGGAGGCAGCAGUAGGGAAUCUUCCGCAAUGGGCGAAAGCUUGACGGAGCAACGCCGCGUGAGUGAUGAAGGUCUUCGGAUCGUAAAACUCUGUUAUUAGGGAAGAACAAAUGUGUAAGUAACUAUGCACGUCUUGACGGUACCUAAUCAGAAAGCCACGGCUAACUACGUG
rnacentral:rRNA from 1 species